GAUGAACGCUGGCGGCGUGCCUAAUACAUGCAAGUCGAGCGAACAGAUAAGGAGCUUGCUCCUUUGACGUUAGCGGCGGACGGGUGAGUAACACGUGGGUAACCUACCUAUAAGACUGGGAUAACUUCGGGAAACCGGAGCUAAUACCGGAUAACAUUUGGAACCGCAUGGUUCUAAAGUGAAAGAUGGUUUUGCUAUCACUUAUAGAUGGACCCGCGCCGUAUUAGCUAGUUGGUAAGGUAACGGCUUACCAAGGCGACGAUACGUAGCCGACCUGAGAGGGUGAUCGGCCACACUGGAACUGAGACACGGUCCAGACUCCUACGGGAGGCAGCAGUAGGGAAUCCUCCGCAAUAGGCGAAAGCCUGACGGAGCAACGCCGCGUGAGUGAUGAAGGGUUUCGGCUCGUAAAACUCUGUUAUUAGGGAAGAACAAAUGUGUAAGUAACUGUGCACGUCUUGACGGUACCUAAUCAGAAAGCCACGGCUAACUACGUG
rnacentral:rRNA from 1 species